AGUGAACGCUGGCGGUAGGCCUAACGCAUGCAAGUCGAACGGCAGCACAGUAAGAGCUUGCUCUUACGGGUGGCGAGUGGCGGACGGGUGAGGAAUACAUCGGAAUCUACUUUUUCGUGGGGGAUAACGUAGGGAAACUUACGCUAAUACCGCAUACGACCUACGGGUGAAAGCAGGGGAUCUUCGGACCUUGCGCGAUUGAAUGAGCCGAUGUCGGAUUAGCUAGUUGGCGGGGUAAAGGCCCACCAAGGCGACGAUCCGUAGCUGGUCUGAGAGGAUGAUCAGCCACACUGGAACUGAGACACGGUCCAGACUCCUACGGGAGGCAGCAGUGGGGAAUAUUGGACAAUGGGCGCAAGCCUGAUCCAGCCAUACCGCGUGGGUGAAGAAGGCCUUCGGGUUGUAAAGCCCUUUUGCUGGGAAAGAAAAGCAGCAGGUUAAUACCCCGCUGUUCUGACGGUACCCAAAGAAUAAGCACCGGCUAACUUCGUG
rnacentral:rRNA from 1 species